rnacentral:lncRNA from 1 species
GAAAAAAAGCGACGGCCAUUUCUCAGAGAAGAGCCGAAGUCAGUCCCAGCUCAUCGCUCGGACGCGACUAAGGGUGCAAGGAAUAAGGAAAGCCAUACGAGACUUGGCGGCCAACAACCCGGGGGACCCUCCAGGUCCCUCAACCGUUGCCGAGGUGUUGUCCCUCGACCGCCGCGGUCGCCGCACCCUUCUGGCCGCUCUGCCCGAGGGAACCCCUCACCCAGUGCACGGCAGCGGGGACGGCAGCCAACGAAUCCGGUCGGCCUCCGCGGAUCUCCACAGGCAGCGCCGCUCCCCCGCUCGACGCGCGCUUCGCCCGCCGCCUCCCUUCUCCAGUCCAAACAAACACCCCAGCCCGGAAGUGACUUCACUUCCGCCGCCGCCGGCUCCGCCCCCUCGUUCUGUCCCCGCUGCCCUUUGAGACCACUAGAGGGCGCGCGAGAGAACGCGCGACCCCCGCGUUCUCUUCUUACCCCAGGCUGCACGCGUGGUGCGAGUGCGGGGGCCUUUCCUGCGUUCCUGGUGGACUCCGGAAGUCUUGUUGGAUUCUCUUUGGGAGAGCGGAGUUGGGCCGAGCCUGUCCCCCGACACCCGCCCAUCCUUCAGGAAUGUUGGCAUGCAGACCUGCACUUUGGCUUCGGGACAUAUGAGGCUGCGUCUAUGCUGACAGGAGCCCACAGCCUCCUCAGGACCCGCGGUGAGUUUUUGGGGGGACUGGGGCCAUGUCCAGGGUGACAGGAGCCCCCGGCCUCCUGAGGACCUGCUGUGAGGCUUCCAGAGGAUGU